AUGGCUUUAACAAAGUCUGGGAACCUCAGGCAGGCUUUUAUGGGAUGGGAAGAAAAUGAAGAGACACGGAGGGAUGUGAACUCAGACUUGACAGGCAGGCAUAAAGACUGUUGCAGCCAGUUUUCAAACUCAGCCCCAAUUUCAAAACUGAAGACUGUUAUCCUGCUUCACACUGCCAAUGAGAGAAACAGAGCUAAAAUUAAAGAGAGAUUAAUCUAGCUGCAUUAAAGACACAAGCCAGAUUGGAGGCUGGGGUCAAGGGACUUGCCAUUGAAAUAAACAAGAGUGAGAUGAAUGUACAAGAUGAACCUGGAACAUCUUGUCACACCAGAAAGCAAGGAAACUAUCAAAGUGAACACAGGAGCCAAGCAGUUCCUACUGGCCAAGGACAAGGCAAUUCAGGCAUCAUUUAGGACAGUAACUGUCAGGGACUGACUGUAAGGGAUUAAGAGGCAUCGAAUAUGGUGAAGUCCAUGCCUUGAUAAUGAUGCUAAAAAAUUAUACUCCCAAUCGACCACUUUUGGAGGAUGUUAGAGAAACAACUCACUCUUUGGGAAACUGGUGUAACAAAAGAAUUGAAGAUUCGUUUUAUUUUUUUUCACAUGAAGUGUUACAUUUUGGAAGCAUUGCAGCUAAUAACAGAAAAAAAUUACGGGGUGAGAUCAUCACAGUUGGGCAGCCUCUAAUGAAUGAACAGAUCUGAGCGGUGAUCACUGAUGCCUCACAAAAAGAGCCUACCAGGUACCAUGUGCCUCCUGAUUGGAAAGAACAUAGCAUCUUUGAAGUUCCUUGGGGGAAAAAAAAUCAGACCCAAAUCAGAUUAAGUCUCUAAGCCUACAUGUCAAUAUAUAGGAAGUUAAAGGACAGAGAAGCAUAUUAGGUGGCAUUUGGGGAUACAGUCAGCAAACCCAUAGUGUAGGAUCAUUUGAUAAUAUUCAGAGCUUAAUGACAUUUUAAAAGGACAUCGUUGAUAAGUAUUAAGAAAACUGAUCUUUUGUAGAUAUAUUUGGGAGCAUUUAUGGAUAAAAUGAUGUUUGGAGUAAAGGUUAGAGAAAUGGGAGGAGGAUAUGGGUGAAGCAAGACUGUCCAGGAGUCAAAAAUUGUGGAAUUUAGGUAACAGAGUUUCAUUAAAUUGUUCUCUCUACUCCUGGAUAUGUUUAAAACUGCAUCAAGUGGAGUGACGCUGUUGAUGCAGAGAAAAUGGGAAAGCAGUGCCCAAAAGAGGUGUUUUCUUAGAAGGGAAAGGUUAAUGAAUCAGAGCUGGAUCCAGGGCACAAAGUAGAGGGAGGGGCAUGUGGCAUCUGAGCCUUAAAUUCCCCCACCGUGGGUAACUCCAGGAGUGUGGCCUGACAUGACCCAGGUUCCAGCAGAGCUAGGCCCUGACUGCAGAAAGCUUCAUUUCCCCAGGGGAGCUGAGAAAUGUUCUCAGCCCAACUGGGAAAAUUGUCUGCCAGUUCUUAAUGAUCUGCUCAGUAUUUCCAGCUGCAGUGUCACCUAUUCUGUGAAUCCUUCCAGAUCCCCCCAGGCAGAAGCUGGGUGCCCCGGGCACCUCUGCAGACUUCCUUUCCUGAUUGCAGCCCUUCCCCACUGCCACAUGUGCCCCUGGGGCAGACCCCUGCAGGAUCUGGUGUCCCUGCAUGGAGGCUGACUACUGAUGAUGAAACUCGUUCCCCUAGAAGAUUUUGGAAAGCCAGGAUACCUCCGAAGCUGUGUGCUACUGCUCCUGAGACCAAGUAGACUCCCUGGGAGCGCCAGUGUCUUGGACACAUUCCAACCUGUGUAAUUACAUUCUGCCUGUUAAAC
ensembl:lncRNA